UACGUAGGGGGCGAGCGUUGUCCGGAUUCAUUGGGCGUAAAGCGCUUUAAGGCUGGUUCGGCUAAGUCGGGUGUGAAACCUCCAGGCUCAACCUGGAGACGCCACUCGAUACUGGCGUGACUAGAGUUCGGUGAGGGGGACCACGGAAUUCCUGGAUGUGAGCGGUGGAAAGUGACUGCAGAUAUCAAGGAGGAACACCAAUUGCGAAGGCAGCUCGCUGGGACGUUACUGACGCUGAGACGCGAAAGCGUGGGGAGCAAACAGG
rnacentral:rRNA from 1 species